UCCCUUCCUUCCUUAGGUGCAAGUGCAUGCGGGCCCGAGAAUUUGGAAGACUGCAAGUGCCUGGUGGUUUAAGCGAAAGUGAAUUCUUCCCUGAGCACUGAUAGGAUUGCCCACGAGAAGAAAUCAUCUCUUCAGCCCUCUCGUCCUCCACAGGAACAGAAGGACACGUCCCAAGUGGCGAGCUGUGCAAGGCUGCAGACACUGGACAGGGUUUUGCCAUGUUGCCCAGGCUGGUGUUAAACUCCUGGACUCAACAGAUCUAUCCACCUCAGCUUCCCAAAGUGCUAGGAUUACAGUGACACACCAGCCUGUGCCUGCCUGGAGCUCCAUCAGCUCUCUUCUCGUCACCGAAGUGCAGGAACACGGUGCCAUCUCUGCAAACAACAUGGAUCGAAAGCCAGGGGACAUUACUCUUAACUAAAGCCACAAAACACUAGGUUAUUAAUAAGGACACUUGAUGGAUCCCAUCUCUAAUCGGGGGUGGGAACAGGGGAGUCAGAAGGUGGCUGCUAGUGCACAGGUUGCUUGUUAUUCUCCUGGGGUUAUCUUCCUUGCAAUCAGGUGCACUACGCAGUCAGGCCUGUCAUGCAUACACAAAGGAGAGAAUAUUGAUUUAUUUAGGUGGAUAAAAUCAUUUCUCUAGGUCCUGCUUUUCUGAUUCAGAAUAUAGAUUCAAGCUGAUUGCAGAAGUUGGAAGCCUCUGAAAAGUGCCAAAAUCUAACAUAUAUUAGCCAUGUUAGCCCAAGAGUGAAGGUUGCCAUAAAUACCAGCUCAUCAAUGCCAAGGGCAGAUUGGGCUCUUUGGGGUCUUGUUGUCUCUCCUCCGCCUCCAGUCCUCUCAGCAAUGUCAGAGGGGCCAGGCAAGACUGAAGAAACCCACCAUCUGGGGCAUGGGCAGCCUGCCUGCCCCUGGCCUACGGAUCUCCAGGAGCAGUCCUCUCUGGCCUCUUGCAGUGAGUACAGAACAACCUGGGCAGCCACGGGCUCUCAGGAGCACAGCCUGGGGGAGUGCUCUGUGCCACCCAGUGGAGAGAAGUGGCAGCCCACUUGGAGUUUGCCCUCCCACCGCCUGGCAUUUCAAGGUGGCUGUGACUUCUGGUUUAUUCCUGGGUGAACAGAAAAGGACGCAUUCUCUCCUCAUCGAAGAAAAUGUUGAGUCCUUUCGGGACUCUCUGGCAGAAUGCCCGCUCCAGAACAGCUGCCAAUUGCUAGCACAACCCCAAGAUCAGCCUGUUCCCCGUGGGGCCCUUUUAUUAUUAUUUUUAAAUAUUAAUAGAACUAAUUAAAUAUAGAGGUGUGCUCCAGCCCUAAUCUGUGGUUUCUCAUCUUUCCUCCCCUCCCUCCUCCUUCCUGCUGUGCCCGAGUGUGUAUUGUCAAAGUGUCAAGCGAGGAGGGAAAGAGAAAACCAGGCCAGAUAACACAGAAUUGGUAUGCUGGGCGAAGGCUGCGGACACAAGGGACUUCUUUUAAUCCAGUCCAUUAAUCAAUUUCUCCGUAGAAAUUGAAUUAACUGUCUUUCAUCAACAUCACAUCCCAGGACUUGAAAACACAGCGUACGCAUACAGGAAUGUAAAUGCAGCAGGCGUGCUUCCCUUCCCAUGCAGGUGAACCUGCGGGGCUCUUGUUCUUUUGGUCCAGAGCAUGGAGAGGGGGAAGGAUCUGAAAGUUAAAUGGGUCUGGCCUUGGCCUUGGACAGGUCUGCCUUGAACCUGGGAUCCAGGGGAGGCACUGAAGCAACCUGCUGUUUUGUUUUUCUUGCUCACAACCACUUAGAAAGACUUCCUGCUCCCAUCUCUCCUUUAACCCAAACACAUUUGCCAUUGAAUAUCAGUCUCACAGUCGUAAUUUUUCUUUGGCCUUGAGUUGCACAAAAAACCAUCAGCCUGUUCCCCGCUGUACCCACAGCUGAGUCCUUCAUCCCCGCUGAGACAGGGUUCUUUCACCGGACCAGCGGACUCUAGCCUGCAUGGAGAAUAUAUCAAUGCAGGUAUGAAAGGAUCUCUCUGAGAGAGAGAGAGAGAGAGAGAGAGAGAAUUUGGACAUUUCCAUUUAUUUAUUUAUUUGACACAUAAAAAUUGCACAUAUUUAUGGUGUGUAAACUGAUGGUUUGAAAUAUGCAUACAUUGUGGAAUGGCUAAAUCAAGCUAAUUAUCAUAUGCACUGCCUCAUGUAUUUAUUUGUAAUGACAUUUAAAUCUACUCUUUCAGCAAUUUUCAAAUAUACAACAUGUUGUUAUUGACU
ensembl:lncRNA